rnacentral:piRNA from 1 species
UGAUACCUAAAUCAGGGGGCUGCCCCUAA